ACGAAGGGUGCAAGCGUUAAUCGGAAUUACUGGGCGUAAAGGGUGCGUAGGCGGUUCGUUAAGUCUGUCGUGAAAUCCCCGGGCUCAACCUGGGAAUGGCGAUGGAUACUGGCGAGCUAGAGUGUGUCAGAGGUCGGUGGAAUUCCCGGUGUAGUGGUGAAAUGCGUAGAGAUCGGGAGGAACACCUGUGGCGAAGGCGGCCGACUGGGCCGACCCUGACGCUGAGGCGCGAAGGCGUGGGGAGCGAACGGGA
rnacentral:rRNA from 1 species